GGCUCUUGGAGCUUUACUUCAAUUCAAGCUUCGAAACGAUUCUUCAUCUUCCUGCUUUUUUUAGACCACAUUAAGUAAACACACCAGUUUGCCUAAAACCAUGUCGUCUGCAACAUUUGUACUUUUUGCUGCUGUUCUGAUCGUCUGCUGCCUCGUGUAUGCAGAAGCUGCUCCUCCAACAACACCUACAACAACCACAACUACAACUACGCUAGCUCCACUAGCUCCGCUAGAUUCCCUAAUCCAAGUCGUAACGAAUACUAUUGGUACACUCUUUGGCCUUCUUGGCAGCCUCUCUGGCUAGUAUCCACACUCAUCAAAGAAACUGCAAGACAUUUUGACUACGAUGGGCCCAUUUUCUUCACCUAAUGGCGUCAAAUCCGAAAUGUCUGCGCAAAAUUAAAAUAGAAAAAUUAUAUUUUAAGAAUUAAUUUAAAAAACUUUUAUUCCAAAACAACAACAACAACAGGUAUUCGUUUCUGUAUAAUUAUAAAUAUUUCAAAGAUUUCAAAUUUUGGAGAUUUCGUUU